rnacentral:snRNA from 1 species
AAUGCUCUGUGACUGAGUGGUUCAAAAAAAAAAAAAAAAUCUGUUCUUAUCAGUUUAAUAUCUGAUACGUCCCCUAUCUGGGGACCAUAUAUUAAAUGGAUUUUUGGGACAGAGAGAUGGAAGAAGAGCUUGCUCUGUCCACUCCACGCAUUGACCUGGUAUUGCAGUACCUCCAGGACCGGUGCACCUCUC